CUUGUUUCUUUUUUAAUUAGAAAGUGUAUCGGUAAUUGACUUUACUUUAGAGAAAAUUUAACAAACGUAGAUUGGGUUGUGCAUUCCAGGGUAUAAACCAAGUGGUUUAGAAUAUUACAGUGGCAAUACUGCAUUUUCCAAGAUUAUUCGUUGUAUCGUUCACGGGUGCCUAGCAAACGCAUUCGUCGGUACUCUUUUUCGAGGUGCGUGCAGUCACUGCAGCAGAUCGGCAAAAGGAAAUGCAACGGGAAGGAAAUUUACGAUUCUGGAGAAAUAAUAGCAAGGGUCUGCAGGUACAAAAGAAACGAAGUUAUACUCGGUAUGCAAUAUGGACCGAUGCGUACCUUGUGGAUAAAAACGGUCGACGUAAAUUUCUCUCACCUUGAAACUAUAUAGUUGGAUG